GCCUGGGUGGCUCAGUCAGUUAAGCGUCUGACUCUUGACUUCUGCUCAGGUUUGUGAGUUCAAGCCCCACCUCAGGCU
rnacentral:tRNA from 1 species